rnacentral:rRNA from 1 species
UACGAAGGACCCGAGCGUUAUCCGGAUUUAUUGGGUUUAAAGGGUGCGUAGGCGGAUUAUUAAGUCAGUGGUGAAAGCCUUCAGCUUAACUGAAGAACUGCCAUUGAUACUGAUGAUCUUGAGUAUGAUUGAGGUGGGCGGAAUGUGUCAUGUAGCGGUGAAAUGCUUAGAUAUGGCGCGGAACACCGAUUGCGAAGGCAGCUCACUAAGCCAUAACUGACGCUGAUGCACGAAAGCGUGGGGAGCCAACAGG